UACGAAGGGGGCUAGCGUUGCUCGGAAUCACUGGGCGUAAAGGGUGCGUAGGCGGGUCUUUAAGUCAGGGGUGAAAUCCUGGAGCUCAACUCCAGAACUGCCUUUGAUACUGAAGAUCUUGAGUCCGGGAGAGGUGAGUGGAACUGCGAGUGUAGAGGUGAAAUUCGUAGAUAUUCACAAGAACACCAGUGGCGAAGGCGGCUCACUGGCCCGGUACUGACGCUGAGGCACGAAAGCGUGGGGAGCAAACAGG
rnacentral:rRNA from 1 species